rnacentral:lncRNA from 1 species
CCAUCUCAGGAUUAUCUUCUUUUCCCAAAAAUCCUUCUCCGACUCUUCCUCCUCAGCUCCUUAGCGGGGUCCUGAAAUGUUUUUCCCCAAACUGGGAUGAGACUACGUCUCAGCGAGUUCUACCCCACUAAGCCCAAUUAGUAAACCAUUAUACUAAAGGCUGCCUAUACACGCAUAGGGCAGAAGACGUACCUUAGCAUCAGAUCCCACCUGCAAGUUAGUACAAUUCACAAUAGGCACUCAAGCAAUCAUAUCACCGAUUGAAGCAUCGGUCUAAUCGACUUAAUCGAUUACACGCCAACAAGACCACUCAUGGUCAUUUCCAUUCAAUCAAUCAAUUCACAACAUCAAAUCAAAGUAAUGAUCAAUCACAUUGAAUCACACUCGGAUUGAAUCAUCGAUCAAUCGACCUAAUCGAUUACAAGUCAGUCGAAUCAUUUCUAGGUCAUUCACUCCAUCCCACAUAAUCUCCAAUAGUACACUUAGUCACAGAGCUCCAUCAAUGCUCUCGGGCGUCGUUUUCGCCAAGGUGACAUAAGUAUCAGACGGUCUACGUGCGUUCUUUAAGGCGCCGUUUUCGCACAGUGAUAUUCCUCAUCACCGAACCACGCCCGUCACAGAUCACAAAUCACUGACAGUCUACGUGCGUUCUUUAAGGCGCCGUUUUCGCACAGUGAUGUCUUUCAUCACCGAACCACGCCUGUCAUGAUUCAUUGGUAGUCUACGUGCGUUCUUUAAGGCGCCGUUUUCGCACAGUGAUAUCCUUAAUCACCGAACCACGCCUACCAUAAGUCAUAGACAGUCUACGUGCGUUCUUUAAGGCGCCGUUUUCGCACAGUGAUGUACUUUAUCACCGAACCACGCCUGUCUAUACUUCGUACUUGAUCGGUCUCAGCCAAUAGAAUUCUCAGUUAGUUCUCAUUACUCUCUCCACUUACAGCUCAACAAGGCAGUACAAAUGCUAACUAUCCAUACUCGGCCAUCUACCAAUCAAUCAUUCAAUCUCAAUCAAUUCCAGAUCAAUCUAGGGUAAAUCCCUAAAAUAUCACAAUUUAUUUAAUUUCAUACAACGUAGAGCUCAAAUAAAUAAACGGACUGCGCCACGACAAUCAGCACGAAGUUCCAGUCAUCAACCAUCUCAAUCUUAAUUUCCGAAAAAUAAUUAAUUAAUAAAUAAUAAAAAUUCAAUUUAACUCAAAUUAAAGCCCGAUUAAAUAAACAGACUUCACCACGGUUGUCAGCAUAAUUUUCCGGUUCCAAGCCAUCUCAGUUGAAUUUUCGGAAAAUAAAUAAUUAUUUAAUUAAUUUCGAAAAUUAAUUAAUAUAAAAAAAUUCAAUUUAGCUUAACAUAAAGUCCGAUUAAAUAAACGGACUUCACCACGAUCAUCAGCAUAAUUUUCCGAUUCCGAACCAUCUCCCUUGAAUUUUCGGAAAAUAAAUAAUUAUUUAAUUUAAUUCCAAAAAUUAAUAUUUAAAAUGCCCAAAAAUCUCACUUAGGCCCGAAUCGCCAAAUUGAAGCCCGAUUAGGGGUCCAAAAAUUCUCGAGAUGCCUUCAAUAAAUAGUAGACCACGUCUACUUGCUAAUUGCGCAAUCAAUUUAUUUAAAUCACAUCACAAUUGACUAAUAAUUGCUAAUUAAUUCUAAUCUAACAACCUAAACAUAAUUAAUUAAAACUAAACCAACCUAAAGCAUAAUUAGCCAACUAAUCCAGGAUUAGUGAGAUUACUCACCAAAUCGCGCGCAAAUCGGAUCAAUCCGACGGCGGCGACGCGAGGAACGAUUGUCUCCAAAGCACGGCUCGGGUUCGGGGCCGGGAAACGGCCCAAAACGGGCCAAACGUCACUGCAAUACCCAUUUUUCUGCACCUCUGCACGCUGCUGGUUGGGGCCGUUCCGGGGCCGAUUAGAGCCGGACAAGGCCGGUGGAGGGCGAGGGGACUUCGGUGAGGCCGGACGGUGGCCGGAGGAGAUCGGGCGGCAGCCGUAGGUGGCUGAACGGGACCGAGCAGAGGCAAAACAGGGCUGAACAGGGGCGGUAGCUCGGCUGGGUGAGGCGAACGGCGAUCGAGCGGGCUAGAGGGAGACGAACGGCGGCGAGGCGGUGUGCGGCGGCUCCCGGCGACGUCGGCUGCUGCUCCGGCGUCCGUCCCAGAUCUGGUGGGAUUCGAAGUCUUCAAGGCACACCGAAGAAGAAAAGAGGCGGCCGAACAGCAGGGUAAGGGGCGGAGGGCGCACGGCGAGGUGUGGUCGACCGCGGAGUAGCGGCGGUUCCGGCUUCGGUGGGCGACGACGGCGGUGAGAGGCGGCGACAGCAGCUCCUUCUCUGCUGGUCUUCGGCUUCCAUGGAGGUUUUGAAGAAAAGGAAGAAGAAGAUGGGGGAGAUCCGUCGACGGAGGAGAGAGGAGAGGAAGAGAAAAUCAAUUUCUCCUUUCCCUCUCACACUCUCUCUUUCUUAUGUCAUCCGUAGGUGGCCCACCAUGAGCUGCCCUCCACUCACAAUUCCAAGACAAAUUUGCCCCUUCUAGAAGCAUUUAGGUAGGCCAAAGUGUGGGGGUAGAGGUGGCAUACGAAUUUUGCUAGGUUUUCUUUCCAAUUGAGCCUUGAUUCCUCUUGAAUUAAAUCAAAUUGAACCCUCAUUAAUUUAUUCAAUGCUUCAAUUGAAUAUUCUCCUCAUCCAAUAGCUCAUCUCGCAUCUCAAUUUUGUAUUCCAUUUUAAUCCCCGGCUCCAAUUGCAUAGAAAUGACCUG